rnacentral:rRNA from 1 species
GACGAACGCUGGCGGUGUGCUUAACACAUGCAAGUCGAACGGUAAGGCCCUUUCGGGGGUACACGAGUGGCGAACGGGUGAGUAACACGUGAGUAACCUGCCCUCAUCUCUGGGAUAACAGUCGGAAACGGUUGCUAAUACUGGAUAUGAGCUUGCAAGGCAUCUUGUGGGUUGGAAAGAUUUUUUUGGUUGGGGAUGGACUCGCGGCCUAUCAGCUUGUUGGUGAGGUAGUGGCUCACCAAGGCUUCGACGGGUAGCCGGCCUGAGAGGGCGACCGGCCACAUUGGGACUGAGAGACGGCCCAAACUCCUACGGGAGGCAGCAGUGGGGAAUAUUGCACAAUGGACGGAAGUCUGAUGCAGCAACGCCGCGUGCGGGAUGACGGCCUUCGGGUUGUAAACCGCUUUCAAUUGUGACGAAGCUUUUUGUGACGGUAGCAGCAGAAGAAGCACCGGCUAACUACGUG